rnacentral:rRNA from 1 species
UACGUAGGGUGCAAGCGUUAAUCGGAAUUACUGGGCGUAAAGCGUGCGCAGGCGGUGAUGUAAGACAGAUGUGAAAUCCCCGGGCUCAACCUGGGAACUGCAUUUGUGACUGCAUCGCUGGAGUGCGGCAGAGGGGGGUAGAAUUCCACGUGUAGCAGUGAAAUGCGUAGAGAUGUGGAGGAAUACCGAUGGCGAAGGCAGCCCCCUGGGAUAACACUGACGCUCAUGCACGAAAGCGUGGGGAGCAAACAGG